rnacentral:rRNA from 1 species
UACGUAGGUGGCAAGCGUUGUUCGGAAUAACUGGGCGUAAAGGAUGCGUAGGCGGUUAAACAAGUUAUAUGUUAAAUAUAUAGGCUUAACCUGUAGAAAGCAUAUAAAACUGUUUAACUAGAGUGCAGGAGAGGUAAGUGGAAUUCCUAGUGUAGCGGUGAAAUGCGUAGAGAUUAGGAAGAACACCAGUGGCGAAGGCGACUUACUGGACUGUAACUGACGCUGAGGCAUGAGAGCAUGGGGAGCAAACAGG